UAUUUCCCAACUAACAAGACAUUUACUGUAACUACAGCUAUGAAAUAUUUAAUCAGUUCAUCUUGUUUCUCUCAGUAAUGAGGCUAUCCCUGUGCUGCAUACGGAAUGUGCUAAAAAGAGAAAAGCACAUUCUGGACAGAAGCUGGCUAAGGCCACUGUACCCCUUGAAAGGGCCUGUGGAAUUAAUUAAUAAGGGCUAGAAGCCUUACUUCUUUACAAGGCCUUUUGUACUGGGAGAACACUCUUCCAAAUCUACUUAUUGGAUAUCCUCUACCAUGGGAGCCUUAUGGGAAGGUAGCACCCGUCUCCCUUUCAAAGUCAUCCAGGUCAGUACCAGAAUCAAACAGAGAAAAGCGCUGCUGAAGCUGACAAAGACGUCUCAUCUCACUUCUCUGUUCCAUGCUGUGGAUGAAGUCAGGCAUCUAACCUUGCAUGCAAGCAAAGGAUCCAACCUGUGUGUCAAAAUCUGCCCCUGCCAUGGACUCCCAGCAGUAUCUUGGUUUCCUGGAUUGCAAAAACAAAUACGAACAGAUUUGGAAAUCAAAACAA